AGGUCUUUUUCCUCAACGGGGGUCUGCUCCAAAUGGAAAGUUGGUUUUGAGCUCUGUGAAUCUGGUUAAGGCAUGCCAAUUGGCAAGCUUUGUUUCUGGCUUGGCAAACAGAGAUGACAGGAAGGUAACUCUGCUCUCUCUGGGUUUAAAUGAGAGAGGCUUUACUUUGGUCUGUAAUAUUUAUGCUAAGAAUCAUUUUAUUCCACUUAUUUGGAGCACAUUUAUUUUUCUCUUUCAUUUAUUCUUUCUUUUUUUGGCUCUUCUACAGAUAUUUUCUCUUUUAUUUCUCUUAUCCACAGCAAGCCUUGAGUUUCCCUGGGAAUGAUGGCUGUCAUACCUCUGAGGAAAACACAUGGAUUAGAGCAAGAGAAAAUCUAGUGACUGAAAAAGAAUAAGAAGAAAAACACUGACCAAGAUAAUAAUCCCAAGAAGUCAAAAAUUAAGACCUGAGAGGAAGAAGGCAGACUAAAGAAAGUAGGUGAGACAGUGACCCGAACCAAAGUGCUGGCUCCAUGCUCUGUGACGUUGGGUAUCCUCACUGCCCUCGGAAGCAUGGUCUUGGUGACACUGGUCAGGUGCAUGAAGUGUUAGAAAAUUUUAUUAAAGAUUCCAUGGUUGCAUCUCCACCUUCAUGCCUGGAUAGUUAUUUCUCCUCCUUCUUUCACUCCCAGUCCAUACCUUGCCAAUCCAUUUCUAUAACCUCUUUAAGUAUGAAUAAAGUCUGACCAUUGUGAAUGGACCCACUUGUUAUAUAAUGAAAAGGAAGUUAGGGAUAUGCUGAGUUUUUGUUUCAUUGUUGUUAGUAAUUUAAGAUAUGCCUUGGUGUUUUCUCCCUGUUUCUUGCUGGUUUCAUUGCAACUAAAUGUUUCCUCUGUUCCCUACCCUCUUUCCUCUCCUUUGAGAACUCCAGUUUCAUUAGGCCUUUCCCACUCCUCCAGUGGGCCAUUUGAAGGUGUUCCAGACCUCACUGAUGCUCUACUCAUAUUUGUUCAAAUCUGCUCUUAAUCUCAUUCAGUGUAUUUUUCAUCUCCGAAAUUGUAGUUUUCACUUCCAGGUGUUGGAUUUGGGUUUUUUUUGUACAUCUUCCAUGCCUUUAUUCCUCUAGCUUUUUGAAAAUAUGGAAUAGAGUUAUACCAACUGAUUUCAUGUCCUUGUCUACUAAUUCUCUAGCAUAUGUCAGUUCUUGGUUCCUUUGAUUUGUUGAUUUUUCUCCUCAUUAUCAGUUGUAUUUUCUAGCUUUUUUUCAUGCCUGAUAAUUUUUGACAGGGUGUGAAUUUUAUCUUAUUGGGUCUUGAGUAGGUUUUUAGUCCCACAGAUCUUCUUGAGCUUUGUUCUGGGAUGCCUUUAAGUUAUUUAAAACUCGGUGGGAUCCUUUCAAGUAUUGCUUUUAAGCUUUGUUAGGUGAGUGUAGAGCUGCAUUUAAUCUAGCAUUAAUUUCACCCUGUUUGUGAGGAAAGACCCUUCAGGGUACUU
rnacentral:lncRNA from 1 species